AUGGACUGCAGGCUCCACGUUAAGAAUUUCCUCCACGCGGAGGCCGCAGGGAAGGAGAGAGAGCGGCGUUGCCCCUUCAUGUUGCUGUGGGCGUCCCAGGGACUCGGUGGAUGGAUCACGUUAUCCUCCUUUCAGCUAAACGUGCAGAUACGUCUUCAGGUCAUGGAGCGUUUCUUAUAUUUGAAGAAUGCAUUUCCAUCCCACUCACUGAGUCUUUACACUCGUGCUGAGGCCGCGUGUCCACUGCCCCGCCAGGGCCCGGCAUCUCCCUUUUCAAACUUCUGUAGCUGUAUCAUUUCAACAAGGAGUCUUGUUGAAUGCUCUGCCACAUUUUAACGGACUGGUUCCAAGCCGUGUCAUGGGAAACGUGCGGCCGGUUGCAUCACAAGCUGGAAUCAAGAUUUCCUUGAGAAAUAGCAUCAGCCUCAGACAUGCAGAUGAUACCAUGCUAAGGGCAGAAAGUGAAGAGGAAUUAAAGAGCCUCUUGUUGAUGGUGAAAGAGGAGAAUGAAAAAGCUGGCUUGAAACUCAACACUCACUAAACUAAGAUCAUAGAAUCCAGUCCCAUCCCUUACUGGGAAAUAAAAAGGAAAUAAUUGAAAGUAGUGACA
rnacentral:lncRNA from 1 species